rnacentral:rRNA from 1 species
AACGCUAGCUACAGGCUUAACACAUGCAAGUCGAGGGGUAACAAGAGAAAAGCUUGCUUUUCUUGUUGACGACCGGCGCACGGGUGAGUAACGCGUAUCCAACCUGCCUAUAACUAGGGAAUAACCUUGCGAAAGUAAGACUAAUACCCUAUGAUUUCCUUUGAUGACAUCAGAUUAGGAAUAAAGAUUUAUCGGUUAUAGAUGGGGAUGCGUCUGAUUAGCUUGUUGGCGGGGUAACGGCCCACCAAGGCAACGAUCAGUAGGGGUUCUGAGAGGAAGGUCCCCCACAUUGGAACUGAGACACGGUCCAAACUCCUACGGGAGGCAGCAGUGAGGAAUAUUGGUCAAUGGACGAGAGUCUGAACCAGCCAAGUAGCGUGCAGGACGACGGCCCUAUGGGUUGUAAACUGCUUUUAUAAGGGAAUAAAGUGAGCCUCGUGAGGCUUUUUGCAUGUACCUUAUGAAUAAGGACCGGCUAAUUCCGUGCCAGCAGCCGCGGUAAUACGGAAGGUCCGGGCGUUAUCCGGAUUUAUUGGGUUUAAAGGGAGCGUAGGCCGGAGAUUAAGCGUGUUGUGAAAUGUAGACGCUCAACGUCUGCACUGCAGCGCGAACUGGUUUCCUUGAGUACGCACAAAGUGGGCGGAAUUCGUGGUGUAGCGGUGAAAUGCUUAGAUAUCACGAAGAACUCCGAUUG